rnacentral:rRNA from 1 species
AACGAACGCUGGCGGCGUGCCUAACACAUGCAAGUCGAGCGCGAAAGGAGCAAUCCGAGUAGAGCGGUGCACGGGUGCGUAACACGUGGAUAAUCUGCCUCAGGGUUGAGGAUAACCUUCCGAAAGGUUGGCUAAUACUCGGUAAGCUUACGGUGACUUCGGUCGCUGUGAGAAAACUAGACCUCUAUUUAUAAGUCUAGGCCUAGAGAUGAGUCCGCGGCCCAUCAGCUAGUUGGCGGGGUACCGGCCCACCAAGGCUACGACGGGUAGCUGGUCUGAGAGGACGAUCAGCCACACUGGAACUGGGACACGGUCCAGACUCCUACGGGAGGCAGCAGUGGGGAAUUUUCCACAAUGGGCGAAAGCCUGAUGGAGCAACGCCGAGUGUGUGAUGAAGGUCUUCGGAUCGUAAAGCACUUUCGACUGGGACGAAAAACCUUUGGCUAACAUCCAGGGGCCUGACGGUACCAGGAGAAGAAGCACCGGCUAACUCUGUGCCAGCCGCCGCGGUAAAAC